AUUGAACGCUGGCGGCAGGCCUAACACAUGCAAGUCGAACGAGUGGCGGACGGGUGAGUAAUUUCUUGGAAACUGCCCGCUGGAGGGGGAUAACUACUGGAAACGGUAGCUAAUACCGCAUACCAUCGGAUGUGCCCAGAUGGGAUUAGCUAGUAGGUGGGGUUACGGCUCACCUAGGCGACGAUCCCUAGCUGGUCUGAGAGGAUGACCAGCCACACUGGAACUGAGACACGGUCCAGACGCCUACGGGAGGCAGCAGUGGGGAAUAUUGCACAAUGGGAGCAAGCCUGAUGCAGCCAUGCCGCGUGUAUGAAGAAGGCCUUCGGGUUGUAAAGUACUUUCAGCGAGGAGGCGUUACUCGCAGAAGAAGAACCGGAUAACUCCGUGCCAGCAGCCGCGGUAAUUC
rnacentral:rRNA from 1 species